rnacentral:siRNA from 1 species
CGUCGCGAGAAGUCCACUAAACCU